CCUACGGGAGGCAGCAGUAGGGAAUAUUGCUCAAUGGGCGAAACCCUGAAGCAGCAACGCCGCGUGGAGGAUGAAGGUUUUCGGAUUGUAAACUCCUUUUGUUAGAGAAGAUAAUGACGGUAUCUAACGAAUAAGCACCGUCUAACUCCGUGCCAGCAGCCGCGGUAAUACGGCGGGUGCAAGCGUUACUCGGAAUCACUGGGCGUAAAGCGCGCGUAGGCGGGAUAGCAAGUCAGAUGUGAAAUCCUAUGGCUUAACCAUAGAACUGCAUGUGAAACUGUUAUUCUAGAGUAUGGGAAGGGUAGGUGGAAUUCUUGGUGUAGGGGUAAAAUCCGUAGAGAUCAAGAGGAAGACUGAUUGCGAAGGCGACCUGCUAGAACAUAACUGACGCUGAUGCGCGAAAGCGUGGGGAGCAAACAGGAUUAGAUACCCCAGUAGUC
rnacentral:rRNA from 1 species